rnacentral:rRNA from 1 species
CCGGCGAACGGGUGCGUAACACGUGAGCAACCUGCCUUUGUGUGGGGGAUAGCCGGCCCAACGGCCGGGUAAUACCGCAUACGUUCUUGUGGGGGAGGUCCCCAUGAGAGGAAACCUCCGGGGCACAAAGAGGGGCUCGCGGCCUAUCAGCUAGUUGGCGGGGUAACGGCUCACCAAGGCGACGACGGGUAGCUGGUCUGAGAGGAUGGCCAGCCACAUUGGGACUGAGAGACGGCCCAG